GGGGACGGGACGGGACGGGACGGGUGGGCGGUUCGUUCGCUGUUGGCGCCCAGCUUUUCUGAUUCUCUCUGAGAAAAACCUUCGAAAGGCCCGGGUCGCAGCGCGCGGGGCGAGGAGCGCCGCAGGCAGCCUCCCGCUGCCGGGAGGAGAUGCUGAGCCCGCCCGCGAUGAUGGUUCUGAGCGCGGCUGAUAAACACGCGGCCCCACGUGAAGUGUGCUCUCUGAACACACAACUUUGUGUAAGGAGAAGCCAGCAUACAGAAGUUCUGCUGAUACCGGCUGUCUUCCCCCGUGACUUCAGACCGUGCAGUCUGAGCACAAUAAGUGGUGCACAGGGAAGACCAGCUUUUGGACAGGGAUUGAAGAAACAUCAUGUGGGUGACUUGCAUGUAUGACAUAAUCCAUAUCCAGGCAUAUUAAUGACUGGGUUCUUACUUGGAUCUUACUCUGCGUCUUUGGUUCAGCAUCACUCAGCCCUGUGCUAUCCAAGCCAGUAUCAACCCAGUGUGUGAAACAUCAUGAGAUGCUGCAUUUCUUGGUAGAAGCAAAUGUCGAGGCAAAAAAAAAUUAAGGGAAAGAUGUAGGGUGCAGUUCAAAAGAGUUUUCAGUAUUCUCAUAAAUAAAUAGUUUUUUCCAAAAGAAACACAUCUGCAUUGUGACCAAAAGCUGUAGUACAAACCUGUAUUUGCCAAAAUGAGGUUUCAAGUUUUGCCCCGGUUUGAGUCAGUUGUAUAUUAAUGUGCCUUUUGCAUAAAUCAGAAAUAGUUAUGUCCAUUCUACCAUAGCAGCUUCAACAUACAUUUGAAAAUGACAGCUAUUUCAACUACAAAAUGAAGAAAGAGGAUUUCAUUUCACUGCAUUUUCUUCUAGACAAGCAGGCAUUUUUCUUACACUGAGAAUGCUGGUGUGUCACUGCAUAGCAAUCCACAGGAAUUACGAGGCAUCUAAUGUUCCUGCUCACUGAAGGAAACACUGACUGUGCAGCCAUCAGUUUGCUGUGAACUUCUCUACUUUAUCAUGCAGAUCAUGGCAUAGUUAUCUCAGAGAUAAGUUCUUCAUCACUUGGUUGUUCUUAUAAAACACAACCUAGGUUUUACCAUUUUAAAUAUUUACCAUAUACCCACGUGUAAUAUUCGAUACAUCUAAAAGCAUGCAAGUAAAUAUGUGUUUUUAAAACUUCAUUACCAGCAAUAAAGAAGUAUUUUUUUAAAAAAAGCAAUACUGCAUUUGUAUGUAGGAAUAUGAUCAAGCUGUUUAUGUAGACAUGGAGGUAAGGGAAUCUAUUGAUGUAAUCGGUAUCAUGGGGUUCUGAAGAAAAGGACAUACAGACAAGCACACUGCUUUACCUUAUUUUCAUUACGACUUCCUUAAAUAACUCUUCUUCUGUGUAUUUUCAUUCCAUAGGAUAAUUUGUAAAACCAUAUCCCUGAGUGUGGCAGUUCUAUGCACCCUAAGGAACUUCCUGUAAAACUGGUGGCUAUCUGGAAAGUUACAUCAGCUGAGGUUGGUUAAGUUAGUUUAGCAUGUAUUACCUUGAGAUUUUCCUUGGGAGGUAAUUCGUUGCUGGUUGUUAAACGCUAGCAUAAAUAGCAAAAUACAUACCGGUGUAUAUGAUGGUGCGAGUGCUGAUGUUGUUCUGGGACCAAAAGCUUGUGAGGGCGAGUCAGUGAGUUGUCACUCUAAUGUUUGACAGGUGUCAGGAAAAUCUGUUCAGAAUGUAUGUAAAAAGUAAGCCUCUAUUCUGAAAAAACACUGGGAAAAAUAAUGUAAUGGUAAUAAAUAUUGCUUAAAGCAAUGGAAAA